AUAAUUGUAUAGAAUUAUUAUAAUUUUAUACGAAUCUUUAAAUUUAUCGCAAAUACUGUUAUUUGAAUAUUAUUUUAAAGAGCGAUAUUUCAAAUUUUAGAAACAUUAGCCUUCAUUUAAAGGUACAAAUCGAGAAAUUUUCUUAAAACCUUAGAACGUUAGCGUAGUACAAGGAGUUAAAAAGUAUAGAUAUCUCUUCUGACCACGUAGGUUUCUCUAAUAAUCAUUUUAGAUUCUGAG